rnacentral:rRNA from 1 species
UCAAGAAUAUUCCUCAAUGGACGAAAGUCUGAAGGAGCGACGCCGCGUGACUGAUGAAGUCCUUCGGGAUGUAAAGGUCUUUUAUUAGGGACGAACAAAUGACGGUACCUAAAGAAUAAGGGGUUGCUAACUCUGUGCCAGCAGCAGCGGUAAUACAGAGACCCCGAGCGUUAUCCGGAUUUAUUGGGCGUAAAGCGUGCGCAGAUGGCUUUUUAAGUCUGUGGUCAAAUCCCGAAGCUUAACUUCGGGACUGCCAUGGAAACUGAAUCGCUAGAGGAUGGAAGAGGUCAACGGAAUUGCCAGUGUAACGGUAAAAUGUGUUAAUAUUGGCAAGAACACCAGAGGCGAAGGCGGUUGACUGGGACAUUCCUGACAUUGAUGCACGAAAGCGUGGGGAGCGAAUGGG